rnacentral:rRNA from 1 species
UACGUAGGGUGCGAGCGUUAAUCGGAAUUACUGGGCGUAAAGCGUGCGCAGGCGGCUUGGUAAGUCGGAUGUGAAAUCCCGAGGCUCAACCUCGAGAUGUCGGUGGAAACUGCCUGGCUAGAGUCCGGAAGAGGAGUGUGGAAUUCCUGGUGUAGCGGUGAAAUGCGCAGAUAUCAGGAAGAACACCUAUGGCGAAGGCAGCACUCUGGGACGGUACUGACGCUGAGACGCGAAAGCGUGGGGAGCGAACAGG